UCUUAUGAAGUUAGCGGCGGACGGGUGAGUAACACGUGGGUAACCUGCCCAUAAGACUGGGAUAACUCCGGGAAACCGGGGCUAAUACCGGAUAACAUUUUGCGCUGCAUGGCGCGAAAUUGAAAGGCGGCUUCGGCUGUCACUUAUGGAUGGACCCGCGUCGCAUUAGCUAGUUGGUGAGGUAACGGCUCACCAAGGCAACGAUGCGUAGCCGACCUGAGAGGGUGAUCGGCCACACUGGGACUGAGACACGGCCCAGACUCCUACGGGAGGCAGCAGUAGGGAAUCUUCCGCAAUGGACGAAAGUCUGACGGAGCAACGCCGCGUGAGUGAUGAAGGCUUUCGGGUCGUAAAACUCUGUUGUUAGGGAAGAACAAGUGCUAGUUGAAUAAGCUGGCACCUUGACGGUACCUAACCAGAAAGCCACGGCUAACUACGUGCCAGCAGCCGCGGUAAUACGUAGGUGGCAAGCGUUAUCCGGAAUUAUUGGGCGUAAAGCGCGCGCAGGUGGUUUCUUAAGUCUGAUGUGAAAGCCCACGGCUCAACCGUGGAGGGUCAUUGGAAACUGGGAGACUUGAGUGCAGAAGAGGAAAGUGGAAUUCCAUGUGUAGCGGUGAAAUGCGUAGAGAUAUGGAGGAACACCAGUGGCGAAGGCGACUUUCUGGUCUGUAACUGACACUGAGGCGCGAAAGCGUGGGGAGCAAACAG
rnacentral:rRNA from 1 species